ensembl:snoRNA SNORD83 Small nucleolar RNA SNORD83
GCCACAUGAUGUAUUUUCAGAGACAUGAGCACUCAGUGCUGAGAUGACCUUUAUCUAUCACCCUUGACUGAUGGCA